rnacentral:tRNA from 1 species
UAGGGUAUAACGUAAUGGUAUCGUGUUCACUUUGGGUGUGAGAAACUGAAGGUUCGAAUCCUUCUACCCUAA